AACGAGGCCGACCUGCGGCUGAGUUACCUGCGGAAGGAUCAUUACAAGUGACCCCGGUUUACCACCGGGAUGUUCAUAACCCUUUGUUGUCCGACUCUGUUGCCUCCGGGGCGACCCUGCCUUCGGGCGGGGGCUCCGGGUGGACACUUCAAACUCUUGCGUAACUUUGCAGUCUGAGUAAACUUAAUUAAUAAAUUAAAACUUUUAACAACGGAUCU
rnacentral:misc_RNA from 1 species